rnacentral:rRNA from 1 species
CCUACGGGAGGCAGCAGUGGGGAAUUUUCCGCAAUGGGCGCAAGCCUGACGGAGCAACGCCGCGUGAGGGAUGAAGGCCUCUGGGCUGUAAACCUCUUUUCUCAAGGAAGAAGACCUGACGGUACUUGAGGAAUAAGCCACGGCUAAUUCCGUGCCAGCAGCCGCGGUAAUACGGGAGUGGCAAGCGUUAUCCGGAAUUAUUGGGCGUAAAGCGUCCGCAGGCGGCCUAUUAAGUCUGUCGUUAAAGCGUGGAGCUCAACUCCAUUUAAGCGAUGGAAACUGGAAGGCUAGAGUGUGGUAGGGGCAGAGGGAAUUCCCGGUGUAGCGGUGAAAUGCGUAGAUAUCGGGAAGAACACCAGUGGCGAAGGCGCUCUGCUGGGCCAUAACUGACGCUCAUGGACGAAAGCCAGGGGAGCGAAAGGGAUUAGAUACCCCUGUAGUCCUGGCCGUAAACGAUGAACACUAGGUGUCGGGGGAAUCGACCCCCUCGGUGUCGUAGCUAACGCGUUAAGUGUUCCGCCUGGGGAGUACGCACGCAAGUGUGAACUCAAAGGAAUUGACGG